AUGGUUCCAGUCAGACCCCACUUAAAAGCCAAACUGGGACUUUGUCCAUUGUUAAGUCAGAAACCAGGGGCCAGGGAUUUAGCUCAGUGGUUUCGCCACCUGCUGAGCAAGCACAAGGACCUGAGUUCGAUCCCCGGUACCAAAAAAAAAAAAAAAGUCAGAAACCUCUGGGAUAAGAAACAAAAAGUGCAAAGGAACUGACAUUCUGGGAAUUCUGAGUGCAGACAUUCAAAAAUCCUGGCAGCUUCCAUUUCCUCCCUCUUGGAAUCCAACUUUCAUAUAAUGGAAAGCCCAGGCAGUCACUUGGAGAAGCCUACGUGAAGGAAAUUCAAACCUUAUUCCCACCUGCUAGACCAUCAUCUAAGUUCCCUGCUGACAGCCAGCACUGACAACCAGCCUGUGAGUCAGCCAUCUUGGAAGCAUGUUAAACCUCCAUGUUUAGCCACCCCAGCCCAUACAACUGGGUUAGAGGCAAGCUAUCUUCUCAGAAUCCUGCAAAAAUUGCCUAUAUCUUUGUGAAAA
rnacentral:lncRNA from 1 species